rnacentral:rRNA from 1 species
UAGGGAAUCUUCGGCAAUGGACGAAAGUCUGACCGAGCAACGCCGCGUGAGUGAAGAAGGUUUUCGGAUCGUAAAACUCUGUUGUUAGAGAAGAACAAGGACGUUAGUAACUGAACGUCCCCUGACGGUAUCUAACCAGAAAGCCACGGCUAACUACGUGCCAGCAGCCGCGGUAAUACGUAGGUGGCAAGCGUUGUCCGGAUUUAUUGGGCGUAAAGCGAGCGCAGGCGGUUUCUUAAGUCUGAUGUGAAAGCCCCCGGCUCAACCGGGGAUGGGCAUUGGAAACUGGGAGACUUGAGUGCAGAAGAGGAGAGUGGAAUUCCAUGUGUAGCGGUGAAAUGCGUAGAUAUAUGGAGGAACACCAGUGGCGAAGGCGGCUCUCUGGUCUGUAACUGACGCUGAGGCUCGAAAGCGUGGGGAGCAAACAGG